rnacentral:rRNA from 1 species
UACGUAGGUGGCGAGCGUUGUCCGGAUUUAUUGGGCGUAAAGCGCGCGCAGGUGGUGCGGUAAGUCUGCCGUGAAAUCUCCCGGCUCAACUGGGAGGGGGCGGUGGAGACUGCCGGACUAGAGGGACUCAGAGGCCGGUGGAAUUCCCGGUGUAGUGGUGAAAUGCGUAGAGAUCGGGAGGAACACCAGUGGCGAAGGCGGCCGGCUGGGGGUGCCCUGACGCUGAGGCGCGAAAGCGUGGGGAGCGAACCGG